UGCCUGAUGGAGGGGGAUAACUACUGGAAACGGUGGCUAAUACCGCAUAAUGUCGCAAGACCAAAGUGGGGGACCUUCGGGCCUCAUGCCAUCAGAUGUGCCCAGAUGGGAUUAGCUAGUAGGUGGGGUAACGGCUCACCUAGGCGACGAUCCCUAGCUGGUCUGAGAGGAUGACCAGCCACACUGGAACUGAGACACGGUCCAGACUCCUACGGGAGGCAGCAGUGGGGAAUAUUGCACAAUGGGCGCAAGCCUGAUGCAGCCAUGCCGCGUGUGUGAAGAAGGCCUUCGGGUUGUAAAGCACUUUCAGCGGGGAGGAAGGCGUUAAGGUUAAUAACCUUGGCGAUUGACGUUACCCGCAGAAGAAGCACCGGCUAACUCCGUGCCAGCAGCCGCGGUAAUACGGAGGGUGCAAGCGUUAAUCGGAAUUACUGGGCGUAAAGCGCACGCAGGCGGUCUGUCAAGUCGGAUGUGAAAUCCCCGGGCUCAACCUGGGAACUGCAUUCGAAACUGGCAGGCUAGAGUCUUGUAGAGGGGGGUAGAAUUCCAGGUGUAGCGGUGAAAUGCGUAGAGAUCUGGAGGAAUACCGGUGGCGAAGGCGGCCCCCUGGACAAAGACUGACGCUCAGGUGCGAAAGCGUGGGGAGCAAACAGGAUUAGAUACCCUGGUAGUCCACGCCGUAAACGAUGUCGAUUUGGAGGUUGUGCCCUUGAGGCGUGGCUUCCGGAGCUAACGCGUUAAAUCGACCGCCUGGGGAGUACGGCCGCAAGGUUAAAACUCAAAUGAAUUGACGGGGGCCCGCACAAGCGGUGGAGCAUGUGGUUUAAUUCGAUGCAACGCGAAGAACCUUACCUGGUCUUGACAUCCACAGAACUUAGCAGAGAUGCUUUGGUGCCUUCGGGAACUGUGAGACAGGUGCUGCAUGGCUGUCGUCAGCUCGUGUUGUGAAAUGUUGGGUUAAGUCCCGCAACGAGCGCAACCCUUAUCCUUUGUUGCCAGCGGUUAGGCCGGGAACUCAAAGGAGACUGCCAGUGAUAAACUGGAGGAAGGUGGGGAUGACGUCAAGUCAUCAUGGCCCUUACGACCAGGGCUACACACGUGCUACAAUGGCAUAUACAAAGAGAAGCGACCUCGCGAGAGCAAGCGGACCUCAUAAAGUAUGUCGUAGUCCGGAUUGGAGUCUGCAACUCGACUCCAUGAAGUCGGAAUCGCUAGUAAUCGUAGAUCAGAAUGCUACGGUGAAUACGUUCCCGGGCCUUGUACACACCGCCCGUCACACCAUGGGAGUGGGUUGCAAAAGAAGUAGGUAGCUUAACCUUCGGGAGGGCGCUUACCACUUUGUGAUUCAUGACUGGGGUGAAGUCGUAACAAGGUAACCGUAGGGGAACCUGCGGUUGGAUCACCUCCUUA
rnacentral:rRNA from 1 species